rnacentral:rRNA from 1 species
UCUGUGAGUAAACGGGUGGUACCCGAAAGUUCGAAAGGGGAGAUUCAAGUCUCGCCGCGCGCCGGGCGGCGGACGCGAGAAGAGAUGGCGUCUUCGUGGUCGAGGGGAAACUCUCAGCCCGGGGGCGCCACUCCGUGGGCGCCGUAUCUCCCGGCGUCGGAGUGACGCACUUCUCCCCGAGUAGGACGUCGCGACCCGUCGAGCGCCGGCCUAAGGUCCCGGGUGGAGUCUGUGUGGUCUGCUUAUGCCGACCGCGCACGACCUCGGGAAUCCCGGCCGGGUGCCCGACGGUACGAAGCAUGAAAGGAGUCGACGCGCCACUCAUUUGGCGUCUGGCCCUCUGCAAGCGCCCGCGGUAGUCCGGGUAGCGGGCCUGGCCCGAUUCCGGUCUGUUUGCGGGGCUGUUCGCGAGCAGGAGGUGUCCUUGGACGGCGUUGAUCCUCCAGUCGGCGACGCUUCAGCUUGGAUGGCCUACCCGACCC